AGCAGCCGCGGUAAUUCCAGCUCCAAUAGCGUAUAUUAAAGUUGUUGCAGUUAAAAAGCUCGUAGUUGAAUUUCGGGAUCAAUAUGUUGGUCGUGCCUCGGUACGUACUAGCUUAUUGGUUUCUCCCUUCUGACGAACCAUGAUGUCAUUUAUUUGGUGUUAUGGGAAAUCAGGACUGUUACUUUGAAAAAUUAGAGUGUUUAAAGCAGGCUCACGCUUGAAUACAUUAGCAUGGAAUAAUGAAAUAGGACGUUUGAUUCUAUUUUGUUGGUUUCUAGGAUCGACGUAAUGAUUAAUAGGGAUAGUUGGGGGCAUUAGUAUUCAAUUGUCAGAGGUGAAAUUCUUGGAUUUAUUGAAGACUAACUACUGCGAAAGCAUUUGCCAAGGAUGUUUUCAUUAAUCAAGAACGAAAGUUAGGGGAUCGAAGACGAUCAGAUACCGUCGUAGUCUUAACCAUAAACUAUGCCGACUAGGGAUCGGAUGAUGUUAAUUUUUAAUGUACUC
rnacentral:rRNA from 1 species